rnacentral:rRNA from 1 species
CAGAACGAACGCUGGCGGCGGGCCUCAUACAUGCAAGUCGAGCGCGUGUAGCAAUACACGAGCGGCGUACGGGUGAGUAACGGGUGGAUAAUCUGCCUCCGGGUGGGGGAUAACGGCUGGAAACGGCCGCUAAUACCGCAUACGGUGGCCGGCCCUCGGGCUGGUCAAGAAAGGGGCUUCACAGCCUCGCCGGGAGAUGAGUCCGCCUUCGAUUAGCUAGUUGGUGGGGUAAUGGCCUACCAAGGCGAUGAUCGAUAGCCGAACUGAGAGGUUGAUCGGCCACACUGGAACUGAGACACGGUCCAGACACCUACGGGUGGCAGCAGUAGGGAGUAUUGCGCAAUGGGCGAAAGCCUGACGCAGCCACGCCGCGUGGAUGAUGAAGGCCUUCGGGUCGUAAAGUCCUUUUAUGAGGGAAGAACGGUCUGGUGAGGAAAUGCACUGGGCGUGACGGUACCUCAGGAAUAAGCCACGGCUAACUCUGUGCCAGCAGCCGCGGUAAUACAGAGGUGGCUAGCGUUGUUCGGAAUUACUGGGCGUAAAGGGAGCGCAGGCGGCCAAAUUAGUCUGAAGUGCAAGCCCGGGGCUCAACCCCGGAAUUGCUUUGGAUACUGUUUGGCUUGAGUAUGUCAGAGGUGAGCGGAAUUCCAGGUGUAGCGGUGAAAUGCGUAGAUAUCUGGAGGAACAUCGGUGGCGAAAGCGGCUCACUGGGACAAAACUGACGCUGAGGCUCGAAAGCGUGGGGAGCGAACGGGAUUAGAUACCCCGGUAGUCCACGCUGUAAACGUUGUGCACUAGGUGUGAGGGGUGUCUACCCCCUUCGUGCCGUAGCUAACGCAUUAAGUGCACCGCCUGGGGAGUACGGUCGCAAGA